GUAAGAAAGUCUAGUAUUUUUUAUUAAAUACCUAAAGCAGAGUUUAUCAGGCUAGAUGGUGAGCAGAAGUCCUCAGUUGGGUCAUUAUAUCUCAGUGCAAGAUUAGUUUGCCCUUAAGUCCCUGGUCAAGAAAACCUGUCCUAGUUGAGCCCACCCAUCAAUCUAAGCUUUUGAAUGCCUGCUUUGGACUUGGCUUCAGGUUGUCUGUGAAGCCAGCUCCUAUGGUGGGUAUACUAUGGUACAUGGCUCUGUGUGUUGGAUGCGCCUGGCCAAUGAUGGGUCAUUCAGCAAAUUGUGGUUAAACUCACGCUGGUUUAGUGCAAAUCUGUACUCAGCUGUUGUUCUGUGGCUGGUUCUUCAGACCCAGGAGAUCCCAGGAGAAUUUCCCCCCAAGUUGCUGCUUGUCAUUUCCUGUCGUGUCUAUCUUGGCCAGGUUGUGAUGUUGGCAGCUCUUGGUCAGUGAGAGCCUUUGCGCUGCGAAGGAAUCUAUGCCUUUCUCCAUCUUUUUAAUUUUAAUUUAAUCUAUUUAAUGCAAGUCCAUGUAUGAGAUGCCAUACGCUAAAUGAAAUAAAUCCGUCUCUGAAGUCCAAGGUGUUUCUCUGGAGGCAAUGUUUCUGACCAUCCCAAAGCUUCUUUUCAUAUCAUUUUAGUAUACGUGCCCAGAAAAGUGUAUUGGGUUCAAGCCCUUGCCUGCCAAAUGCAUUGUGCUUGGUACCUCUGGGUUUUCCUUCUUAAUUGGAGUACAAGCUUGGUGGGAUGUGUCCUUAGCUUGUGGGUCUGUCUGUCUCUUUCCAUGGAGCACGAGGGCGUAAUUAUUCUCCAUUGCAUCUGGCCAGCAUUUGCCUCCCUCUUCCUGACCUGCAUUUUUGGCCAAACCAAAGUUUAACCUCUCAACAAAAGAAGGGGCAGUUUGACAGACGGGGUAUAGACACGUUAGGGUUUUGUACUAGGGCUGCCUAGCCAAAAAGUGAGAUGGUGGUAGGCAAUUUUCUGGGACUCUCCCCCUAAUCUUCAACAGCUUUCUCCUAAAAAAUCAUGGAUUGCCAACUGGUAGGGAAUUCCACAGUUGGGAUGGGUUUACAGAGGUGUGAUGACGUGGUUGUCAAGAGAGCAGCUCCAUGCAUGCGAGUUUUCCAUAAACACUGGAGAAAUGUUUCCUGCAUUGAAUAAAAGGCCUUACAUCUCCCGCCCUUCCAUGUGAAUGCACGGGAGAUGAAGAAUAUGAUUAAUAAAUGACAUAAAGUAUUACCACGCGUGUCAAAGCGGGAGGCUGUGUUGGCUGCAAUAACACAACUCCAAAAUCAGCGUCAUCAUUACGUUCUCCCCAGGUGCGUGGUGGAAUCUGACUCCAGGAGCGACACACCUGGGUGACCCUCUGAGCCGUGACAAGACUGAGAGGCUUAUGUGGAGUUGCUGGUUGAAGUAUCAGUGCCUAGCCAAGAUACCCAGGAGGAGGGAAAAGGAGAAAAGGGAAGAGCAGCAGAGGUGAAAUCUACUGUCGCCAUGAGAUCAAUCCGAUCGUUUGCUAACGAUGACCGGCACGUGAUGAUGAAACAUUCAACUAUUUAUCCGUCUCCAGAGGAACUUGAAGCUGUCCAGAACAUGGUUUCCACGGUCGAGUGUGCUCUUAAGCAGGUCUCCGAUUGGAUGGACGAGACAAGCAAGUCCACUCGGGUGGAGAGCAGCUCGGAGGACAAAGAGGAACUGGCAGACGCCCGGAGCAGCAAGGACCAAGGUGGCCGGAUCUUGUGUGGAGUAAUGAGGAUUGGUUUGGUGGCCAAAGGCUUGUUGAUAAAAGACGAUAUGGACUUGGAACUGGUCCUCAUGUGCAAAGAAAAGCCCACAGAGACGCUGUUAUCCCUCGUCAAAGACAAUCUUCCUGUCCAAAUCCAGAAACUCACAGAAGAGAAGUACCACAUAGAACAUCAUCCCGGGGAAGCUGCCAUCGUGAUCCGAAGCACGACGGGGCUCCCGCUAACCCUCAAGGUGACCCUAACCUCCCCGCUAAUCCGGGAUGAAGCCGAGAAGAAGGAUGGAGUAGACAGUGCCCCGAUGAAAGAUCCUUCGGAUUUGCUCAACAGGCAAAAAUGCCUCGAAGCUUUGGCGUCUCUGCGGCACGCCAAAUGGUUCCAGGCCAGAGCGAAUGGGCUAAAAUCCUGUGUGAUCGUGCUGCGAAUUCUGCGAGAUUUGUGCAACAGAGUUCCCACCUGGGCGCCCUUGAAAGGUUGGCCCCUGGAGCUGUUGUGUGAGAAAGCCAUUGGUACCUGCAACAGGCCGUUGGGGGCGGGGGAAGCUCUCCGGCGGGUGAUGGAGUGCUUGGCAUCGGGCAUCCUGUUGCCAGGUGGGCCUGGCGUGCACGACCCCUGUGAACGAGAGCCAACGGAUGCCUUGUCCAGCCUGACUGUUCAACAAAGGGAAGCCAUAACCCAUAGUGCCCAGCAUGCACUGAGACUGUCGGCUUUUGGCCAAAUAUACAAGGUGCUGGAAAUGGAUCCUCUCCCUUCCAAUAAGUCGUUCCAGAAAUAUUCGUGGUCGGGGGCCGACAAAGAAGGUGCAGGUUCCUCUGCCCUAAAGAGGCCUUUUGAAGACGGGUUGGGGGAUGAGAAAGACCCCAGUAAGAAAAUGAAGCGGAAUUUGAGGAAAAUCCUCGACAGCAAAGCAAUAGAUCUCAUGAAUGCCUUGAUGCGGCUGAAUCAGAUACGGCCCGGUUUGCAGUACAAGCUGCUCUCUCAGUCGGGGCCCGUCCACGCCCCGGUCUUCACGAUGUCCGUCGACGUGGAUGGAACAACUUACGAAGCCUCAGGACCUUCCAAGAAGACCGCCAAGCUUCACGUUGCAGUGAAGGUGCUGCAAGCGAUGGGUUACCCCACCGGUUUUGAUGCAGACAUGGAAUGUACGAGCUCUGAUGAGAAGUCAGAUACAGAAGGCAAAAACGAAACGGUGUCUUCAAACACGAGCAAUAAUAAUGGAAAUUCCACAGUUGAUACCUCUGCAACCUUAGAGGUCAGAACUCAGGGUCCCAUCCUCACAGCCAGCGGCAAGAAUCCGGUGAUGGAGCUCAACGAGAAGCGGCGAGGCCUGAAAUACGAGCUCAUCUCCGAGACAGGCGGAAGCCACGACAAGCGGUUCGUGAUGGAGGUAGAAGUCGACGGGCAGAGGUUCCGAGGGGCUGGCCCCAACAAGAAGGUAGCCAAGGCGAGUGCCGCCUUGGCGGCUCUCGAGAAACUCUUUUCGGGCCCCAACGCGGCUGCCAAUAAGAAGAAAAAGAUUCUGCCACAGACCAAAGGAGGGAUUGUAAACACAGCCAUGUCUGCAGCAGCGCGAGGGAGAGGACGAGGGGCCCCCAUGCGUGGGGCGUUUGUCGGGGCAGCGGCGGCGACCAGUUACCUGGCACCAGGUAGAACCAGCCCGGGUUGUUCUGUGGUCGUGACAGGGGAGCACCAAGCCCUGCCACGGCUCGGUCCACACAAGAACGAGGCCGACGUUCCAGGCGUGAGAACAGCUUCGGGCUUCCUCAUGGGUGCUGCAGAGCAUCCGAGUCCUGCUUAGGCCCUUUGGAGGGAGGAAAUCCCGUUUUCAAUUAAAUUGUGGUGCCCAGAUGUCUCUGGUCACCAUCCCCAAGCGCGCGUGCAUGUGUCUGUGCAAGGAUCAUGCCCUUGGCCUUCGCCCUUUUCACGUGAGAGAGUCCGUGCCUCCUGGGAAGGGGAUGCAGGUUUGCAGCUCAUCCUAAGAGGAAAGAUGCGUCGGUUUCAACCGAACGGGCACCUUGGUCAGACCCAGAACUGGGGGAGUUUCGCCUUCGGUGGAUCUCUUCCUCCUCCCCUCCCCAGCCGAAAGAUUCUGCGUGUGCAGCCUCCUUUCUGCACGGGUUUAUUCCGCUCAGGCGGUGGGUGGUUGGAACCGCUGAAGGCCUGGGGUUGAGCUGGCCAAGACCUAGCAAGUGGAGCAUGAUACGCGGAAGAAGAAAGGGGCCCUUUCCCUCCCUCCCUCCCUCCCAGCCCUAGAAACCAAUAAACGGAAGGACUUGGGGUGGUCCUGCACCUUCUGGGGGGGGUCUCUUCCAGCCCCACAAUUCUGCAAUGCUGUCCGUUGCGUCGCGAAACGUCCGCUCUGUUGCUGACCCCGUUCGACGGUUUUAAAAAGGGGAGAGGGAAAAGGAUCCAUCCCCCCAGCAGAGGGGAGUUCCCUGUCCGAGGUCCAAGGGCAGGCAUGUUGGGCACGCCUGCUUCCCCCCCUUCCCCCCAUGCCCCCCAGGAGGACCCGUCACCGCUUUCGUGUGCUUCCCUUGCAGGGUACGCGGCACCGUACGGAUACAACGCCGCAGCGGCCGCGCCGGCUUACGGUCUGCCCAAGAGAAUGCUGCUGUUGCCAGUUAUGAAAUUUCCCACCUUCCCAAUGCC